rnacentral:rRNA from 1 species
GACGAACGCUGGCGGCGUGCCUAACACAUGCAAGUCGAGCGGGGGGAGUACUUCGGUACAAACCUAGCGGCGGACGGGUGAGUAACACGUGGGUAACCUGCCUCAAAGAGGGGGAUAGCCUUCCGAAAGGAAGAUUAAUACCGCAUAACCCAUAGCUUCCGCAUGGAAGCAAUGGUAAAGAUUUAUCGCUUUGAGAUGGACCCGCGGCGCAUUAGCUAGUUGGUGAGGUAACGGCUCACCAAGGCCACGAUGCGGAGCCGACCUGAGAGGGUGAUCGGCCACAUUGGAGCUGAGACACGGUCCAGACUCCUACGGGAGGCAGCAGUGGGGAAUAUUGCACAAUGGGCGAAAGCCUGAUGCAGCAACGCCGCGUGAGUGAUGAAGGCCUUCGGGUUGUAAAGCUCUGUCUUUUGGGACGAUAAUGACGGUACCAAAGGAGGAAGCCACGGCUAACUACGUGCCAGCCGCCGCCGUAACAC